UGGCCAAUCGCCUGUCAAGAUUCCUGCAA
rnacentral:piRNA from 1 species